CGGGGCUUCCACCACACACCUCACUUCCGGCGGGGGACGGGGCGGGGGGGCGUGUGUCUGCACGAGGUCUCGCGUGAAGUGGCUCUGCGGGAGCGGGAGCGGGAGCGGGAGCGGGAGCGGGUGCGACGCACGCGGCGGCGCAGGCGUCGGCCGCCCCGAGACCCACCGACACCCUUCGGGAGGUCGCAGCAGGCCCGACGCUGCGGGGGCUUCCCUGGAACCGGGCUGUGCCCCCGCGGCCACGUGGGGAGGCGGCGGCAGAGCCCCUCGGAGCGCCGCGUGCCUCCCGGAGGACGGCGAGAGCCGCAGCCCCGGCGGCUGCUGGGCCGCGGAGGCGGACAUUUGGAAACCAGCUCCGUGGAAGUUGUGAGGCACCCAGAGAGCACAAACUUCUAUCUUUUAUCUCAUGGAUCCAAUGUAACUGUUACCGAAGGUGGGAAAUUGGAGAUUGCUUCGACUGGAGAAUUUUCAAAGGCUUGAUACCUAAAUGUAUUCUUUGGGUUGAUUUUUCCCGAUGAUGCGACAUCAUUUGAAUACACUGAAGCCUCAUCAUUUACCAGGUUGGUAAUAAUUUUGAUACAAAAAUAAGUCUCCGUAGGAAUGCAGCUUGAACCAAUAA
rnacentral:lncRNA from 12 species